UACAGAGGUCUCAAGCGUUGUUCGGAUUCAUUGGGCGUAAAGGGUGCGUAGGCGGCGCGGUAAGUCGGGUGUGAAAUCUCGGAGCUUAACUCCGAAACUGCAUUCGAUACUGCCGUGCUUGAGGACUGGAGAGGAGACUGGAAUUUACGGUGUAGCGGUGAAAUGCGUAGAUAUCAGUGAAGAAGACCGUGGCGAAGGCGGGUCUCUGG
rnacentral:rRNA from 1 species